UUUCAAACUUAUAAUAUAAAUCUUAAACUUAAACUCAAAUUAGAUCAUUUUAAAAAUCUAAUCUCAAAUUUAAAAUCUAAACCUCAAACACUAAAUCUAAAUCUAUACUCUAAAUCUAAUACCCUAAACCUCAAACAUAAAUCCAACAUACAAAGUCACUAAUCUAAUCUAAUAUUUCUAUAUUAAUUCUUAAAUUUCAAAGAUCCUAAUCUUAUACUAACCAUUACUUACAAAAGUUUAUUUUAAAAUUUCAAAUCUUAACUUUUUAUUUUAUAUAUCUAAACUCUAAACCUUUCAUACAUCCCAAACAUCAAUAACAAAGUCAUGGAUCUAAUCCCUAAAUUACAUAUCUCAUAUUAAAUUUUGAAUACUACAUACAAAGUCAUGGAUCUAAUCUUUAUAAAUACUAGACUAAAACCUAUACUUUAUAAAAAUUAUAUAUUUCUUAAUUCUUUUUCAAAUAUUUAUCCUAAAUUUUAACUUAACCACAAUUCUAUUUCAAAAACUUCAAACCAUAUAUUUUAAACUUAAGCACAACUAUAUCAACUAAUAGUCAACAAUUAUAAUAUUAAUUAACAGAUUUUCAAAAUUAAACUUUAAAGUAUUAAUUUUAAAAUAUUAAUAUUUUAUCAUCAAUUUUCAAAAAUUAUAAACCAAAAGUCACCAAAAUAGUGAAAAAUGGAACAACAAAAGAUAAAAUCAAGAGGAAAAAAUCUAUUUAGUAACUAUUAAAUAAAAAAGUAAGUUAUAGACCAAUCUACUAUCAUCACGCGGAUCACCCUCUGAACCGUAAGAUGCAAUUAAAUUAAUGGAUGAGAUUGUUUUAUUUACUUUUUUCUUUUUAUUUUUUUUUCUCUUUCGUUCGUAUCUUCACAGAUCUCUUUCUCUCCAUCCCAUCGACAAAUCCCUCUUCCAUUUUUUUUCCUUAAUCAUCUCACAACACAAACCGCUCUCUGUCUUAUUCUCCUAACCUCAAUGUCUCACUCUCCUAAUCUCUCUCCCACACACGACACAUCUCACAACCAGAAGAAAUAGGUUCCUAAGUUCUAGCUAUUUUCAUGUUUCUGGUCAAGAUUAUCAUUUCAAUUAUGGUUUUUCACAGGAGGCGCUAAAGCAACGGUGGAGAAGCGGCAGACUCGUCUCUGGUCAAGAUCUGCGUCGGCUUCACCUCCUCACCACCAACACAGAUUUAUUAAGGAGCAGGGAAGGAGAAGCAGUGGUGUGACAUAGCCAGCGUCUCCGGUCAAGCGUGGUGGUACAAGCCGGUGGUGGUCGUGCGGUGGAGAUGCGAGAGCAAUGUCGCGGUGUGGUGAGUGCGGCGGCGACUGAAGAAGUAAAUUAGGUUUAGUUACGGUUAAUUAGUAAACCAAUUUGUAAUUGUAAACCAUUUUGUAAGUGUAUACCAAUUUGUAAUGGUAAACCAUGUAAACCAAAAUUCAAUUUAUAAAAGUACCAAAAUUUUUUUUU